rnacentral:rRNA from 1 species
UUCUGGUUGAUCCCGCCGGACCCUACUGCUAUCGGGAUGGGACUAAGACAUGCUAGUCGUGCGCUUCUAAGCCAUGGUGGAGGCGCGGCGCACAGCUCAGUAACACGUGGUUAACCUGCCCUUGGGACGGAAACACCCCCGGGAAACUGGGGCUAAUUUCCGAUAGGUGAAGACUCCUGGAAUGGAUCUUCGCCUAAAGGGCGCUUAGGCCAUGCUUCUAGGCGCUGCCCAAGGAUGGGACCGCGGCCGAUCAGGUUGUUGAUGAGGUAAUGGCUCACCAAGCCUUUAACCGGUUCGGGCCGUGGGAGCGGGAGCCCGGAGAUGGGCACUGAGACAAGGGCCCAGGUCCUACGGGGCGCAGCAGUCGCGAAAACUCCGCAAUACGCGAAGGCGUGACGGGGCUAUCCCGAGUGCCGUCCGCUGAGGAUGGCUUUUCCCCAGUGUAGAUAGCUGGGGCGAAUAAGGAGAGGGCAAGUCUGGUGUCAGCCGCCGCGGUAAUACCAGCUCUCCGAGUGGUGGGGACGUUUAUUGGGCCUGAAGCAUCCGUAGCCAGCUGAGCAAGUCCCCAGUUAAAUCCAGCGAUUUAAUCGUUGGACUGCUGGGGAUACUGUCCGGCUUGGGGGUGGGAGAGGCCGACGGUAUUCCCGGGGUAGGGGUGAAAUCCUAUAAUCCCGGGAGGACCACCAGUGGCGAAGGCUGUUGGCUAAAACAUGCCCGACGGUGAGGGAUGAAAGCUGGGGGAGCGAACCGGAUUAGAUACCCGGGUAGUCCCAGCUGUAAACGAUGCAGGCUAGGUGUUAGGGCGGCCACGUGCCGCUCUAGUGCCGCAGGGAAGCUGUUAAGCCUGCCGCCUGGGGAGUACGGCCGCAAGGCUGAAACUUAAAGGAAUUGGCGGGGGAGCAC